rnacentral:rRNA from 1 species
UAAUAGUGUAUAUUAAAGUUGUUGCAGUUAAAAAGCUCGUAGUUGAAUGUUGGUGUCGAACGAGCGGUCAGCUUCGGCUGUACUGCUCUCUCGACUCCUUCCUUCUGUGGACUACGUCGCACUUUACUGUGUGGCGCUAGGACGCAGAUCGUUUACUGUGAAAAAAUUAGAGUGUUCAAAGCAGGCCGCACGCUUGAAUACAUUAGCAUGGAAUAAUGGAAUAGGACGUCGGGCCUAUUUUGUUGGUUCUAGGACCGUCGUAAUGAUUAAUAGGGACAGUUGGGGCCGUUUAUAUUCCGUAGUCAGAGGUGAAAUUCUUGGAUUUACGGAAGAUAAACUACUGCGAAAGCAUUCGGCAAGGAUGUUUUCGUUAA